rnacentral:rRNA from 1 species
GUCCCAGUUCGGACUGCGGCCUGCAACCCGGCCGCACGAAGCUGGAAUCGCUAGUAAUCGCGGAUCAGAAUGCCGCGGUGAAUACGUUCCCGGGUCUUGUACACACCGCCCGUCACACCAUGGGAGUCAGCAACGCCCGAAGUCAGUGACCCAACCUUCAAGGAGGGAGCUGCCGAAGGCGGGGCAGGUAACUGGGGUGAAGUCGUAACAAGGUAUC